UACAGAGGGUGCAAGCGUUGUUCGGAAUUAUUGGGCGUAAAGCGCGUGUAGGCGGCUUUGCAAGUCGGGUGUGAAAGCCCUCAGCUCAACUGAGGAAGUGCGCCCGAAACUGCAGAGCUUGAGUGCCGGAGAGGGUGGCGGAAUUCCCCAAGUAGAGGUGAAAUUCGUAGAUAUGGGGAGGAACACCCGUGGCGAAGGCGGCUCUCUGGGACGGUACUGACGCUGAGACGCGAAAGCGUGGGGAGCGAACAGG
rnacentral:rRNA from 1 species